GAGAUAGUAGCAGAUGGCAAUGGAGUAGGGCAAGGAGGAGGAGAAGGCAUCCAAUUGACUUCAAGUGAAGGAGCCACCGCCAAUGUCAUCCUUCCGAAAUUGGGGUGGUUGCGUCUGAUUAGGCUGCCUCAACUAAAGAACAUUUUCAAGGCAGCCAUGAUCUGCAAAUCAAUCUGGUACAUUAGUAUAACAAAUUGUCCAAAUUUAAAGAGGCUGUCUUGGUUUCUUUCCACCAUCGACGGACCACCAUCUCCACCCAGCACUCUAGAGAUCAGGGGAGAAAAAGAAUGGUGGGAAUCAUUAGAGUGGGACAAUUCUUACCCAAAAGAUGCCCUUGACCCACGUUUUAGUGCAUGGAGAUGAAGUUCGAACUGGUGUUGAAGGCUACCUAUUUGAUUAAAAUCAUGAUUGGUUCUCAUGUAGCCACAAAAUUGCCGCUGUAAGAGGGGUGAUGUUGCAAAAACAAGUGCUGAUUGAAGCCGGCUACCAAAUUUCCUUUAUAGAUGAUGUUUUUUCUGCACUUGAUUGUAACUGGAACAGUGAUACAGUUUUUUGUGACUAUUUCUUGAUUAUCGAUAAAACUGUUUGGGGUAAUAUGACAAAAUUUUUGGUCAUAUUGUACUCCAAGAAUGUUUUUCCACUCUAUCAAUUUAAACCAUUCUAUACAUGUGCUUUUUCCA